rnacentral:rRNA from 1 species
GAUGAACGCUAGCGGCAGGCUUAACACAUGCGAGUCGAGGGGUAUAGUUCUUCGGAACUAGAGACCGGCGCACGGGUGCGUAACGCGUAUGCAAUCUACCUUUUACAGGGGGAUAGCCCAGAGAAAUUUGGAUUAAUACCCCAUAGUAUGUUAGCGUGGCAUCAUUUUAACAUUAAAGUUCCAACGGUAAAAGAUGAGCAUGCGUCCCAUUAGCUAGAUGGUAAGGUAACGGCUUACCAUGGCGACGAUGGGUAGGGGUCCGGAGAGGGAGAUCCCCCACACUGGUACUGAGACACGGCCCAGACUCCUACGGGAGGCAGCAGUGAGGAAUAUUGGACAAUGGGCGCAAGCCUGAUCCAGCCAUGCCGCGUGCAGGAAGACGGUCCUAUGGAUUGUAAACUGCUUUUGUACAGGAAGAAACACUCCCUCGUGAGGGAGCUUGACGGUACUGUAAGAAUAAGGAUCGGCUAACUCCGUGCCAGCCGCCGCAGUAACAC